AGUGAACGCUGGCGGUAGGCCUAACACAUGCAAGUCGAACGGCAGCACAGUAAGAGCUUGCUCUUACGGGUGGCGAGUGGCGGACGGGUGAGGAAUACAUCGGAAUCUACUUUCUCGUGGGGGAUAACGUAGGGAAACUUACGCUAAUACCGCAUACGACCUACGGGUGAAAGCAGGGGAUCUUCGGACCUUGCGCGAUUGAAUAAGCCGAUGUCGGAUUAGCUAGUUGGCGGGGUAAAGGCCCACCAAGGCGACGAUCCGUAGCUGGUCUGAGAGGAUGAUCAGCCACACUGGAACUGAGACACGGUCCAGACUCCUACGGGAGGCAGCAGUGGGGAAUAUUGGACAAUGGGCGCAAGCCUGAUCCAGCCAUACCGCGUGGGUGAAGAAGGCCUUCGGGUUGUAAAGCCCUUUUGUUGGGAAAGAAAAGCAGCAGGUUAAUACCCCGAUGUUCUGACGGUACCCAAAGAAUAAGCACCGGCUAACUUCGUG
rnacentral:rRNA from 1 species